AUUGAACGCUGGCGGCAGGCCUAACACAUGCAAGUCGAGCGGUAGCACAGAGAGCUUGCUCUCGGGUGACGAGCGGCGGACGGGUGAGUAAUGUCUGGGAAACUGCCUGAUGGAGGGGGAUAACUACUGGAAACGGUAGCUAAUACCGCAUAACGUCGCAAGACCAAAGUGGGGGGCCUUCGGGCCUCAUGCCAUCAGAUGUGCCCAGAUGGGAUUAGCUAGUAGGUGGGGUAACGGCUCACCUAGGCGACGAUCCCUAGCUGGUCUGAGAGGAUGACCAGCCACACUGGAACUGAGACACGGUCCAGACUCCUACAGGAGGCAGCAGUGGGGAAUAUUGCACAAUGGGCGCAAGCCUGAUGCAGCCAUGCCGCGUGUGUGAAGAAGGCCUUCGGGUUGUAAAGCACUUUCAGCGGGGAGGAAGGCGGUGAGGUUAAUAACCUCAUCGAUUGACGUUACCCGCAGAAGAAGCACCGGCUAACUCCGUGCCAGCAGCCGCGGUAAUACGGAGGGUGCAAGCGUUAAUCGGAAUUACUGGGCGUAAAGCGCACGCAGGCGGUCUGUCAAGUCGGAUGUGAAAUCCCCGGGCUCAACCUGGGAACUGCAUUCGAAACUGGCAGGCUAGAGUCUUGUAGAGGGGGGUAGAAUUCCAGGUGUAGCGGUGAAAUGCGUAGAGAUCUGGAGGAAUACCGGUGGCGAAGGCGGCCCCCUGGACAAAGACUGACGCUCAGGUGCGAAAGCGUGGGAAGCAAACAGGAUUAGAUACCCUGGUAGUCCACGCCGUAAACGAUGUCGAUUUGGAGGUUGUGCCCUUGAGGCGUGGCUUCCGGAGCUAACGCGUUAAAUCGACCGCCUGGGGAGUACGGCCGCAAGGUUAAAACUCAAAUGAAUUGACGGGGGCCCGCACAAGCGGUGGAGCAUGUGGUUUAAUUCGAUGCAACGCGAAGAACCUUACCUGGUCUUGACAUCCACAGAACUUUCCAGAGAUGGAUUGGUGCCUUCGGGAACUGUGAGACAGGUGCUGCAUGGCUGUCGUCAGCUCGUGUUGUGAAAUGUUGGGUUAAGUCCCGCAACGAGCGCAACCCUUAUCCUUUGUUGCCAGCGGUCCGGCCGGGAACUCAAAGGAGUCUGCCAGUGAUAAACUGGAGGAAGGUGGGGAUGACGUCAAGUCAUCAUGGCCCUUACGACCAGGGCUACACACGUGCUACAAUGGCAUAUACAAAGAGAAGCGACCUCGCGAGAGCAAGCGGACCUCAUAAAGUAUGUCGUAGUCCGGAUUGGAGUCUGCAACUCGACUCCAUGAAGUCGGAAUCGCUAGUAAUCGUAGAUCAGAAUGCUACGGUGAAUACGUCCCCGGGCCU
rnacentral:rRNA from 1 species